UAAGCGGAGGAAAAGAAACUAACAAGGAUUCCCCUAGUAACUGCGAGUGAAGCGGGAAAAGCUCAAAUUUAAAAUCUGGUGGUCUUUGGCCAUCCGAGUUGUAAUUUAGAGAAGCGUCUUCCGCGCUGGACCGUGCACAAGUCUCCUGGAAUGGAGCGUCGUAGAGGGUGAGAAUCCCGUCUUUGGCACGGACGCACCAGGGCUUCUGUGAUGCGCUCUCGAAGAGUCGAGUUGUUUGGGAAUGCAGCUCAAAAUGGGUGGUGAACUCCAUCUAAAGCUAAAUAUUGGCGAGAGACCGAUAGCGAACAAGUACCGUGAGGGAAAGAUGAAAAGCACUUUGGAAAGAGAGUGAAACAGUACGUGAAAUUGUUGAAAGGGAAACGCUUGAAGUCAGUCGCGUCGCCCGAGACUCAGCCUUGCCUUGGCUUGGUGUACUUCUCGGCCGACGGGUCAGCAUCAAUUUUGCCCCUUGGAUAAUGGCGAGGGAAAUGUGGCACCUUCACGGGUGUGUUAUAGUCUCUCGUCGCAUGCAAGGGUCGGGAUUGAGGAACUCAGCACGCGCCUUUCGGCGUCGGGGUUCGCCCACGAUACGUGCUCAGGAUGUUGGCGUAAUGGCUUUAAACGACC
rnacentral:rRNA from 1 species